rnacentral:rRNA from 1 species
UACGUAUGGUGCAAGCGUUAUCCGGAUUUACUGGGUGUAAAGGGAGCGUAGGCGGUUUUACAAGUCUGAUGUGAAAGCCCGGGGCUCAACUCCGGUAUUGCAUUGGAAACUGUAGAACUAGAGUGUCGGAGGGGUAAGUGGAAUUCCUAGUGUAGCGGUGAAAUGCGUAGAUAUUAGGAGGAACACCAGUGGCGAAGGCGGCUUACUGGACGAUUACUGACGCUGAGGCUCGAAAGCGUGGGGAGCAAAC